CAGAGCCAAGACCGUGGCUCUGGGGAGCCGGAGGAGCCCUCAGGUGUCAUCUCCAAGGGUCCCUGUUGGUGUGUGGCCCAUGGAGGUCUGCAGUUACCACAGCAGGAGUGCUGCAACCUGGCUGGGCUCCUCCGUGUUGCUCUCCUAAAUCAUUUCAAGCUCGACACACAGAAGUUGUUCCUCCGUGAGCAGCCGUGGGGCGUUUGACCGAUGGUUUUGACAGUAGAGAUGAAUCGAGGACGCAGCGCCCGCAGUCCUGACCUGGAAUUUGAACUCUUCUUCGGUGCCUCUCCCUCCUCUCAGAGGGAGAGGAGGCGGAAGAUCUCAGGAUCUUCUGAUUGCCAUCGAUCCGAGCUGAUUUGCUGAGCAUUGGCUUCGUAUCAUGUCUGCGUGCUCCUUGAUAGAUUAUUUCAGUCUGAAAAAACCCCUAAGACACAAUGAAGUGGCUGGUAAAAUGGGGCCAGCUGGUUCAGCCCCACUUGUGCUGAACAUUAGGUUUAAUGCACUGAAACUACUUCCACUGGCAUGUGGAGCUGAUCAUAGGCUUUUGAUACGAAAACUUUAACUUUGGUGUGAUAAUUCAAUUUCUCCUGUUAUAAAACACAUCUCACAGUAUGGCUUUUCUCCCACCUCUCUGUUUUGACAAAGCAAAGUAAGUUUGUGCUAUCGUCGGCUUUCCUUGCCUCAUUUUUCUCUUCUUCCUGUGUCUCAUUAAUACACAAGCGGUAUUAAAUAAUAAUGAUGCCAGUAGUGGCCUCUGCUGUGCCUCGGUGUUUGCUUCUUUUUGCUUCGAGGAGCAGAUGUUCCCUGUCUUUGUUUUCUGUUGCCAAACAGGGACUUUUCCCCUUUAACCUUUGAUAAGGUGCUUUAAUAGUCUCUGACGUGAGAUUUUAUCAAAAGCCUUGGCAAAAGCCAAAUAAAUGAUACCCGCCUAGC